rnacentral:rRNA from 1 species
UACGUAGGGUGCAAGCGUUAAUCGGAAUUACUGGGCGUAAAGCGUGCGCAGGCGGUUUUGUAAGUCUGUCGUGAAAUCCCCGGGCUCAACCUGGGAAUUGCGAUGGAGACUGCAAGGCUAGAAUCUGGCAGAGGGGGGUAGAAUUCCGCGUGUGAGCAGUGAAAUGCGUAGAUAUGCGGAGGAACACCGAUGGCGAAGGCAAUCCCCUGGACCUGUACUGACGCUCAUGCACGAAAGCGUGAGGAGCAAACAGG